GACGAACGCUGGCGGCGUGCUUAACACAUGCAAGUCGAACGGAAAGGCCCUGCUGGGGUGGGGUGCGCGGGGAGCGAGCGGGUAAGUAACGAGUAAGUUACCUGCCCUUGCGUGUGGGCUAACGUCAAGAAAGGGGGGUAAAUACUGGAAAGGAGUGCCGCCUGGUGGGGGGGGGAAGGAAAGUUUCGGCGGUUGUGGAUGGACUGCCGGUUUACCAGUUUGUGGGGGGGGGAGUGGCUAACGAAGGCUUGGGCGGGUAGCCGGCCUGGGAGGGUGACCGGCCAAAUUGGAACUGAGAUCCGGCCCAGACUCCUCCGGGAGGCAGCAGUGGGAAAUAUUGACCAAUGGGCGGAGGCCUGAUGAAGCAACGCCGCGUGCGGGAUAACGGCCUUCGGGUUGUAACCCGCUUCCGCAUGUGACGAACUGUGAGUGACGGUAAUGGGUAAAGAAGCACCGGCUAACUACGUG
rnacentral:rRNA from 1 species